rnacentral:rRNA from 1 species
AGUGAACGCUGGCGGUAGGCCUAACACAUGCAAGUCGAACGGCAGCACAGUAAGAGCUUGCUCUUACGGGUGGCGAGUGGCGGACGGGUGAGGAAUACAUCGGAAUCUACUUUUUCGUGGGGGAUAACGUAGGGAAACUUACGCUAAUACCGCAUACGACCUACGGGUGAAAGCAGGGGAUCUUCGGACCUUGCGCGAUUGAAUGAGCCGAUGUCGGAUUAGCUAGUUGGCGGGGUACAGGCCCACCAAGGCGGCGAUCCGUAGCUGGUCUGAGAGGAUGAUCAGGCACACUGGAACUGAGACACGGUCCUGACUCCUACGGGAGGCAGAAGUGGGGAAUAUUGGACAAUGGGCGCAAGCCUGAUCCAGCCAUACCGCGUGGGUGAAGAAGGGCUUCGGGUUGUAAAGCCCUUUUGUUGGGAAAGAAAAGCAGCAGGUUAAUACCCCGCUGUUCUGACGGUACCCAAAGAAUAAGCACCGGCUAACUUCGUG